rnacentral:lncRNA from 1 species
CUGCCCAGCAGCGCUGCGCAGGGAGGAGCAGAGCCGCGGAGCCGGCGGGCGGGCGGGCGCGCGGACAGGUCAGGCUGCCAUGGCAGACCAGCGACAGCGUUCACUGUCCACCUCGGGGGAGUCGCUGUACCACGUGCUGGGGCUGGACAAGAAUGCAACCUCGGAUGACAUCAAGAAGUCCUAUCGGAAGCUGGCCUUGAAGUAUCACCCUGACAAGAACCCCGAUAACCCGGAGGCGGCAGACAAGUUCAAGGAGAUCAACAACGCCCACGCCAUCCUGACCGACGCCACCAAGAGGAACAUUUACGACAAGUACGGCUCGCUGGGUCUCUACGUGGCCGAGCAGUUCGGGGAGGAGAACGUCAACACCUACUUCGUGCUGUCCAGCUGGUGGGCCAAGGCGCUCUUCGUCUUCUGCGGGCUCCUGACCUGCUGCUACUGCUGCUGCUGCCUGUGCUGCUGCUUCAACUGCUGCUGCGGCCGGUGCAAGCCCAAGGCCCCUGACGGCGAGGAGACCGAGUUCUACGUGUCCCCCGAGGACCUGGAGGCGCAGCUGCAGUCCGACGAGCGGGAGGCCGCAGACGCUCCGAUCGCCGUCCAGCCGGCCUCGGCCACGGAGACCACCCAGCUCACGGCCGACUCGCACCCCAGCUACCACACCGACGGGUUCAACUAAGUUCAGGAGGAGCUGCAACGAGAGGGUCAGCGCCCGGCCGGCCGCUCAACCUUAGAAUCAUGAACUGUAGUCACAGAGCUGGCGCGGGAGCCGCUCCGGCCACGGGAAGGGCAGCGCCCGCCCGCCCGCCUCUGUGCCCGCCCGCCAUCCGUCGAUCCCGACCCACGAAGCGCGUAGCAUGCAGUAUUUAAAGCAGUUUAGCUACGGUCUUCUGUUGUUCCUUUCUUUGACAGCAUGUAUGGGUUCUGUUCCAUGUCCGUCUGUGUUGUGGGCGUGUUGCAGCCAGGCCGUGUUCACCCGGCGGGGCGGGGGCAGGGGGGCGCCUCAGGGCUUUCAGUCCGGUCUGUGCCCUGGGUGGAUGGCCCGCGUGGCGCCUCGCGGCCAGGCGGGCCCAGACAGGCUGGGAGCUGUGGGGUCUGCCCGGUGCCCUCUGUGCACGACCGUGUGGCCGCAGGCAGGGCCGUUGGACUCAGGCGCCUGGCGGGAGCUGGGCCCAGCCGCCCGGCGUGGCCCUUCCGUGGUGUUGGUCCCGAGGACAGUCUGUGCGGCCUCUUCGCCUUGUGGGCUCGGCCUGGCAGCGGGCGUUCCCCGUGUGCGGCUGUGGCGGUCGCUGCAGGAGGCUCUGCUGACCACAGUCUUGCCGUGUCGGACCUGAGGCCGGUCCCCGCCCCCUCACCAGGCGUGGGAACGGUCCCGCACUUGCCCAGGCCACGGGCCGGAUGGACAGGGCCCCCUCCCGCAGCCCCGCUCCCCCCGCCCGCACCUUGUCUUCGCCCACAUCUCUGCAGGACCCCCUGGCCCUUUCGGGACCCCCUCAGCAUCGCAGAUGGCAGCAGUGGCCCGGGCCUCGGGAGUCGGGGGCUGAGAGUCCUGGCUGCCGGUGGCGAGCGGCCGUACAGCCCUCCCCUGUGCCACCCAGAGCGCCCAGCCGCCCCCUUCCUUCGCAUGGUCCCUUUGGCUGGUGUUGAUGGCUCGGGUAGAGCUAGAGGCAUCGGACUCAGAGGAAGGACCAGCUGGACCAAAGGCGCACUCUGGGUAGAGGGGUGGGUUCCAGGAGGCCCUGGGCCCUUCAGCGUGUUUGCCCGCGGCCAGGCCACGGAAGCCCUGGGAGGGCGCUCCUGCCUGGCCUGUGCGUGGCACUGCCGGGUUUCUGCAGAACGAGCCGAGGGAACAGCCAGUGGGAAGGACGGGGUGGGGGCCGCACGCAGGGAGGUCAGACGCACCUGAAGUCACUGGCGGCAUCGGCAGCGUCCCCUGUUCCCCCUCCCCCCCGCCCCCCCGCCGCCAUGGCCCGAGCACUCCAGGAGCCGUGCUGGGGGAGGCCCCGUUUUGUUGGGGGUUUUGUGCGGGAGGAUGAUCACGGAGGUGUCCAGUGAGGGAGGUGCGCCCUGAUACUGAGCUAGAAGGGCCCCGGGCUUGGGCUGCUGGGAGGGUUAGGAAAUGCACUGUCUCACCGCCCAGGACGGGGAGGAGGCCCCAUGCAGGGCGGUCUUCACUGCCAGUUCCCGUCCAGCAGCAGGAGUCCAGCCCGAGGGGGAGGCAGCCAGUCUUCCUGCUGUCUCUGGAAAUAACUAGGAAGUGAGUUGUUUGCCCCGAACGGCCAAGAACCCAGCUCAAAGCUUCGGGCAGGAAGCCGCCCCUGCACCGUGUCUGUGCUCUUGCUUUGUGUCCAGAAGCACUGAGGCCCGUGGCACACGCCAGUGGUCCCCUGCCGGGGGUCUUUCGGUUCUAGAAUCUUACGGAUCGUCUCCUAGAAACAUGACGCUCCCUGGAGGCCCGGGUGGCGUGGGAAGGAGGGGCAGGUCUGGGUCGAACCCGUCCCCUGUGGGGUUUGUAAAAAUGAGAUAAGUGGUGAGUGAUGACAGCAGCCCUCAAGCCGAUGCUGAUGCUGCCCCGAGGCCCAGGCCCCCGGGAGCUGAGCCCGGGUCUGGACCACCCCCCGCCUGACCCAACCCGAAGCGUGUCCUCUCUGGGGUCCGGGGCAGAAGCCUUUCCCAGGGGUCUACUGUCCACACUCGCAGGCCGCCUCCUGGCUGGAGACCAAGGUCCCCGGGUGCCCUUUGCCCGCGUGGUUGUCUGUUCUCUGGGGAGCAGUGUCGUGUCUGGAGGGGUGCAGCCGCGCCUGUGCUCGGCAAGGACAGCUCUCUGCCUGUCGUGGUGGGGACAGGCGUGCUGUGGGCCUCACGCUAGGUGGCCCGCCGUGGCCAGGGCUGGGGGACCCGAGGGUGGGUGGGGACAGGGCUGUGCACGUCUCUGUUUGUGCGUGGUGACUGGUUCCCGGGUCUUCGGGCCUUACCCUGCUUCCCGCUGCUUUCGCUGUGAGCCCUCCCGCUUCUCUGGUCAGUCGAGUGGGACCGCUGGGCAAAGCCUGGGCGCGCUGGGCGGGGCGGGCGGCGUGUCCACACCGCUGGCCGGGGAGCCCGUCCGGGGCGGCCUGGUCAGCAUCUGGAGGGAGUGCGCCCGGGAGAGCCCUGCCUGUCCUGGCUCAGUGCGUGCGCCCGGGGGGCAGCUUGGAGGCUGUGGCAACGGGCCUGAUCGCAUUCCUCUGGCGGCUUCUGAGCUGUGAACUCUGUGACCCGGGACUCACCUGUUGCGCUCCUCCUCCUGUGGAAUUGGCAGCCAGCUCCGUUUCCUCCUGUCGUUUCAAGCACGGUUGGCGUCGUCUGCUGUAGGUGUGGGCGUAGUGUGGGUGUAGUGUGUGUACAUAUGUGUAUAUGUAUAUAUCACGCAGCAGGCGUGACUGCUGCUGUCCAGUGGCGAAGCAACAAGUACAAUAAAAAUCGGCUCCAAAUUGGCCUCUGGUUUCUUGACGAGUCGCGGUGGGAGCCGGGCCUCAGUGUCUGGUGUCUUGCUCCUUGCGCGGAAGGCGGCACCGACCCCGCUGUGCGCCCGGAGCCGGUGCCUGCCCCCUGCGAGUCCAGGGCGGGGGCAGGACCACCCAGGCGGCGACUGGGCAAGCGCUGCCCAUCCCUCCCUGGGCCCCGUUGCUCUCCUGACCCAGAGGUGGGUGGCACGGCCCUGUGACACUCAGGUGGCUGGAAACCCUCCCUCUCUUUAAACAUGAAAACCAGUUUAUGCACCAGAUGGAGUCUGACAGCUGUGCUCAGAGGGCCCCUGUCCUGCCCACAGACCCACCCUGCGGGUUCCUGAGGAAGACGGGGCCACACCGCCACCCUCCAGGAGGGGGCUGGCCGCGGCGCGUCUCUGGAAAAUGGGGUGAUGUGGCGGGGGAGGCAGUUUACACUGAAACGUUCCCGACGUGGUGAGAAGCUCUGUGCGGGUGUGGGAACCGUUGUGGUCCCCGUGCUGCUCUCGUCCUCCUGGGGCCUGACCUCUGCCCUGGCGCCUGUGCACACCGGGGGCCAGUCUCUUCUGUCUGAAUGUUGACCUGUGAUAAAGAUAACGUGUAAAAUAAAUGUUUUCAC